GUAAACUCAUCAGCCUCCACAUCAAACCUGGUCUUCUUCCUUUCUUCAUGUGGUCAUGACUGAUUUCCUCUGCACAAGCCAGAAUCUAUCUAGCCCAUUAAGCGAAGGCUCUAUGCCAUCCACAAGGCUGACUGCCUUUUAAACACAGAACAUCCGUCUUCCCUACCAUUGUGUGCCUAGCUCUGUGUCUAAUUCCAGGAAUGCCUAAAGCAAACUUACUUCACCAUUUCCACAUUCCACUACCACAGACCCCAGGAUCUGGACCGCCAGGCGUAUCUUCCUUGGAGAGUCUGCUUCUCAUAGGAGAGUCCUUCUCAUCCUUGCAGUGCCUGGCUCAAGCAGCUCCAAGGAUGACGGCACUUUCUCUCCAGGAACAGGCUGACCACAGGUGGGAAACACAUCUAAAGGUAUCCAUCACAGCUGACGGAAGAAUGGAACAAUGUGAUGCCUGGAGCCUGUCAUGCCUGGAGAUCAACAUCCCUGGACCCCCUCUUUACUGCUCGUUUUUCAUACAUAACUGCUUCAAGAUUCUGUAAUCCUUGAAGAUGGGUUUUUGAGAUAUGAGCCACCUGUCUUCUGAUUAGCCAUCUAAUCUAAUUA
rnacentral:lncRNA from 1 species